GGAGAAGCAGGGGAUCGCAAGACCUUGCGCUUUUGGAGCGGCCGAUGCCUGAUUAGCUUGUUGGUGAGGUAAAAGCUCACCAAGGCUUCGAUCAGUAGCUGGUCUGAGAGGACGACCAGCCACACUGGGACUGAGACACGGCCCAGACUCCUACGGGAGGCAGCAGUGGGGAAUUUUGGACAAUGGGGGCAACCCUGAUCCAGCCAUGCCGCGUGAGUGAAGAAGGCCUUCGGGUUGUAAAGCUCUUUCAGCCGGAACGAAACGGUCACGGUUAAUACCCGUGACUACUGACGGUACCGGAAGAAGAAGCACCGGCUAACUACGUGCCAGCAGCCGCGGUAAUACGUAGGGUGCGAGCGUUAAUCGGAAUUACUGGGCGUAAAGCGUGCGCAGGUGGUUUUGUAAGUCAGAUGUGAAAUCCCCGGGCUUAACCUGGGAACUGCGUUUGAAACUACAAAGCUAG
rnacentral:rRNA from 1 species